AAUCUGUGAUGAGGGCAUCUACAAAAUAACUCCUUAAAUCUUUCCCACACCUCGUAUAAGGACUCGUCAUCUAAUUGUUAAAAAGUGAUCUCAUUCUGCAACU
rfam:Gossypium raimondii Chr06_contig_553, whole genome shotgun sequence.